UACGGAGGGUGCGAGCGUUAAUCGGAAUUAUUGGGCGUAAAGGGUGCGUAGGUGGUUUAUUAAGUUAUCUGUGAAAGCCCUGGGCUCAACCUGGGAAGGUCAGAUAAAACUGGUAGACUCGAGUACGGGAGAGGGUAGUGGAAUUUCCGGUGUAGCGGUGAAAUGCGUAGAGAUUGGAAAGAACACCAAUGGCGAAGGCACUUUACUGGGCUAUUACUGACACUGAGAGACGAAAGCUAGGGGAGCAAAUGGG
rnacentral:rRNA from 1 species